rnacentral:rRNA from 1 species
AGCCUGAACGCUGGCGGCGUGGUUAAGACAUGCAAGUCGUACGGUGUAGCAAUACACAGUGGCGAACGGGUGAGUAAUGAAUCGCUAAUGUACCCCGGACUUUGGGAUAGCUGCCCGAAAGGGCAGGUAAUACCAGAUGAUAUAACUUUGUCGCAUGACAGAGUUCUCAAAGGUCCGCCGGUCUGGGAGCAGGCGAUUUCGUAUCAGCUAGUUGGUAGGGUAACGGCCUACCAAGGCGACGACGCGUAGCCGGACUGAGAGGUUGGCCGGCCACAUUGGGACUGAGACACUGCCCAGACUCCUACGGGGGGCUGCAGUAACGAAUCUUCCGCAAUGCACGAAAGUGUGACGGAGCGACGCCGCGUGUGGGACGAAGCCCUUCGGGGUGUAAACCACUGUCAAGGGAAGAAAGUUCUGAUCUACCCUAGAGGAAGAGGCGGCUAACUCUGCGCUAGCAGCCGC